UGUAUAUAUUUAUAUAUGAAAUAUACAACAAAAAAGUUAUUACGGACGGGUUUCUGUAAAAACCAAUUCAAUACUCACUUUGCUUUAUAUAACAAUAGUUUUCUAACAAAUUCAAGAGGCUCCUGGUAUUAUGAAAUAUAGGCAUCCAAUCAUUUUUUUUUUUUAUAAAUAUUUCUUAAGUGGACACUACCUACCCGUGCAUUUGUUGUCUCCAUCUUACACACAUAAGAAAUGGCAUAUCUUCGUUAACUAGUUUUGAUAGUGUGCUGUAAGUUUUAAUAUAAGAGGAAAUUGAGCAAUCAUCAAACUUUAAGGUAAUAACUUAAUCCGCACUUAAACAUUGACAAUUUUUUCGAUAAUUUAAUUUUCAAGCAAGAUAUGGGUGAGAUAUAUCACAAAUUACAAAUGCUCAUAAUGUCUCCCUUGAAAAUUAAAAUAUCAAAUAAAAGCCGAUGAUUUAUCAUAGAUCAUGUUCUCGUCUAUAAGUUUGAUAAAUAUCAAUACACUAUUGAAAAACGUGAUCGAAAAUUCGAGACGAGACAUCCUCCUAAUAAAAUAAAUAAAUAUUAUGUAUAAAUUGCAUAAACAAUUUUUAGUUUUUUGUAGUAUCAAAAUAUUUUGAUUGUCAUUGAGCUCUUUAUAGACAACUUUUCUAUUUUUUUAAUAUCAAUAAAUAAAUAAAUAAAUGUUUGAUAAGUGAAAGGCAUGAUAAUGUAAUACAAUAUUCCUCUUAAGAUGUUAUAUUAGAAAAUUGAAAGUAAUUAAUGAUAGAUAUAAGAAUGUCAUUUGAAGUUUGAAUUACAACUUAGUCAGUCAUUAUUCUACAUGGACAGAACUGGCAUGUUCUCUCAAGAAAUAGAGUAUAUUAGUCCACUUUUCCACUUUUGGAAUAAAUGAUAUUUUAUAUACAUAUUUCACACAUUGUUAAUGUUCAAAAAAUUUCUGAAUUUUUAGGAAAACUAGGAUAUAAUUUGGUAUAAUUUCACUUACUUUUAUUACUGUUGGUCCACAAUAAAAUAGGUAAUACAUAUUUUAGUUAAACUAUUAAUUUACCUUAUAAACUUUUUUGCACUAUAUGCAAUUAAAUAAACUAAAAUUCAAUCAUUUUUUACUAAUAUUUAGUUUUUCUUUAAAAUCAUGCAUUUAAUAUUCGUUAAGCACACACAUUGACACACACACAAGCCUACAAAACCAUUGUCAAAACAAUGAAUUUUUUAAUCACUUCUUCGGUUGUGAAAUUUGUUUUGAAUGACUUAAAAUAAGCAAACUGAUUAAUAUUAAUAUUUUAUAUACAACAUAAAUCAAGACCAGUAUACACGACGGUAUUUUGUCUAAAAACUUUUUGACACUUUAGACUUUAGUUAACAUAUACCAACAUUUUGCGUAUAAUUCUAUAGUACUAAUGUUCAUGAUCUGAUACAGUUAUUUAAUGUUCAUGUUUAUACAAGUCUACUAUUACAGCUUGAUUAUAAAUAAUCUUAAAAUUAUUUACAUUGAGUUUUUCAUAAAUUAGAAUAGUAUUAGUUUGUAUAGGAAGAUUUAGUAAAUAUUUAAUCACACCAUUUAUUGAGUUUAGAGAUAAUGUUUUUAAUAGUUCCUCCCUAAAUAGAUAUAACAUAUGAGAAAAUAGAUUGCACUAAAACUAAAUAUAUGAUUCUUUUAUAGUUUACAUCUUAUAGUUUACCUGGCUCCAUGAAAUACAUAGAACAAUUGCCAAUCUCAGUUUAUAAUCUAUUAUUAAGCCAAGAUUCUUUAACCUUUUCAAGAUACACGCAUUUUGGGUCACAUUUGGUAAUUAAACUAGGAUAACAUUUUAGAGAAUGUGCAAUCAAAUUAUGACCAUGUAAAAUAUUAUUACCACAUUGAUUGCGUAUGUUUUUAUGCUGUUUUCAACAGUGCGUAUGAUAAAUUUUUAAACAAGAAAAAAAAUAGAGGAACUUCUUAUAACGACACGCCAAAUGGCAUCAAUCACGUUGCUGGAUUAGCCGCAUUCAACUUGUUAACAAGUUGAAUUACUUUGAACACAAUAAAGAUUUGUCUCAACCCAGGAAGUGUUGAUGUUUUUUGUAAUAUUUAUUUACAACAAAAUAACUAAAAUCGUAAUUCUUGGUUUUAAUAUGUAAUUUUUUGAAUUUAAAAUGUCUUAAAAACAACUGUGUUUAUAUAAGUUUUAGAUUAUUAGGUUAUAGUGUGAUAUUUAUUGUUUUAAAUUUCAAACCUUAGAUUUGAAAAUUGAACAUUUUAUAAUUUUUUGACUACUAUAUAUUUGAAAGUUUUAUAUUUUGUCAUAUUUUGAAUUAAAAUAGUUAUAAAAAAAAAUUUUUAUAUGAACAAAAAAUUCAAACAAUCGUUUGGGUUUUGAUAAUCGUUAUUGUUUAGGUUGAUAUUAGUUAAUACGUUUUUUAGUAAUCUGGAAAAUACAUAAUUUUUGAAACCUGAGUCCCCCCAAAAAAUGUCAAGUAUAAAAAAAUGUAAAAAAAAAAUGAUUUAUGUUAUUUAUAAUAAAUUAUACAUUCCUAACCCAGUUAUGUGAAUACUACUCAGUACCCACUCACUGAAAAAUAUAUUCAACCCAUUUAGUGUAAUUCCGACCUGGAAAAAAUACGGGACUUUACUAGUGCUUAAAUAUAAGGUAGGUACCUGAAAAGACGAGGCCCCAAUGAGGCUAGGUAAAUUGGGUCCGAAAAAAUUUGGGUACAAUUAGGUAAA